rnacentral:tRNA from 1 species
UGAUAAGAAGUGAGAAAAUUACGUGCGGUUUCGGCCCGUUUAUUGGUAGUGAAAGUCUGCCCUUAUUGA